rnacentral:ncRNA from 1 species
GGCAUGGCUUUGAUUAAGGCCAAGUAAAUUAUUGAUGGCGUAAAGAGAGUGAAGCUCGGAAUGUGCUGAAAGGCUUCAUCGCCCCCUCAUUAUUGAACCUACCUUAUGAGCCUUCAGGAAAACCUGACGUAAUUCCCGCGUUAGAGGAAUCAAGUGCAGCUUUUCUGUUUAUUUAUUAUGGAAAAGUUGAACAAAGGUGGUACCACGGAAGCUAGACCUUUCGUCCUUUAU